GACGAACGCUGGCGGCGUGCUUAACACAUGCAAGUCGAGCGGUAAGGCCCUUCGGGGUACACGAGCGGCGAACGGGUGAGUAACACGUGGGUGACCUGCCCUUAGCCCUGGGAUAAGCCUGGGAAACUGGGUCUAAUACCGGAUAUGACCUCAUGACGCAUGUUGUGGGGUGAAAGCCUUGUGCGGCUAGGGGAUGGGCCCGCGGCCUAUCAGCUUGUUGGUGGGGUGAUGGCCACCAAGGCGACGACGGGUAGCCGGCCUGAGAGGGCGACCGGCCACACUGGGACUGAGACACGGCCCA
rnacentral:rRNA from 1 species